CCCCUAGAUGUUCUGGGCCGCACGCGUGCUACACUGAGUGGAUCAGCGGGUCAGGUUGCGCGAAAGCGUUUCCUAAUCUUGAAAUCCGCUCGUGAUGGGGAUUGACGGUUGCAAUUUUCUGUCAUGAACGAGGAAUACCUUGUAAGCGCGAGUCAUCAUCCCGCGCUGAAUACGUCCCUGCCCUUUGUACACACCGCCCGUCGCUCCUACCGAUUGAGUGGUCCGGUGAGGCUUUGGGAUCUGAGCGGAAAGAGCGUUUCGCUCGUUCUGCCCGGAAAACUCAGUCGAACCUUAUCAUUUAGAGGAAGGAGAAGUCGUAACA
rnacentral:rRNA from 1 species